rnacentral:rRNA from 1 species
UACGAAGGUGGCAAGCGUUGUUCGGAUUUACUGGGCGUAAAGGGAGCGUAGGUGGUUAGGUAAGCCCUCCGGGAAAUCUUCAGGCUUAACCUGAAAAGGUCGGGGGGGACUGCCUAGCUAGAGGGCGGGAGAGGAGCGCGGAAUUCCCGGUGUAGCGGUGAAAUGCGUAGAGAUCGGGAGGAAGGCCGGUGGCGAAGGCGAUGGCCUGGACCUCGAGCUGACGCUGAGGCGCGAAAGCGUGGGGAGCGAUCCGG